CCUGGUGGCUCUGAGGUAAAGCAUCUGCCUGCAGUGCAGGCGACACAGGUUCAAUUCCUGGGCCAGG
rnacentral:tRNA from 1 species